GAUGAAGAACGUAGUGAAAUGCGAUACUUGGUGUGAAUUGCAGAAUCCCGCGAACCAUCGAGUCUUUGAACGCAAGUUGCGCCCGAAGCCAUCAGGUUGAGGGCACGUCUGCCUGGGCGUCACAUAUCGUUGCCCAAUGCCUAUUGCAGUGCAAUAGGAAUUUCUAGGGCGAAUGAUGGCUUCCCGUGAGCGUUGUUGCCUCGCGGUUGGUUGAAAAUCGAGUCCUUGGUAGGGUGUGCCAUGGUAGAUGGUGGUCGAGUUAGAACGAUACCGAUCAUGUGCAUGCUCCCCAAAAUAUGGCCUCUAUGACCCACACGCGUCUUUUGACGCUCAUGACGAGACCUCAGGUCAGGCGGGGCUACCCGCUGAAUUUAAGCAUAUCAAUAAGCGGAGGA
rnacentral:misc_RNA from 1 species